UACGGGGGGUGCGAGCGUUGUCCGGAAUCACUGGGCGUAAAGGGCGCGUAGGUGGCGUCGUAAGUCUGUGGUGAAAGCCCGGAGCUCAACUCCGGGUCUGCCGCGGAUACUGCGAGGCUUGAGUGCUGUAGAGGGGGGUAGAAUGCCGGGUGUAGCGGUGGAAUGCGUAGAGAUAUGGAGGAACACCAGUGGCGAAGGCGACUUUCUGGUCUGUAACUGACACUGAGGCGCGAAAGCGUGGGGAGCAAACAGG
rnacentral:rRNA from 1 species